ACACCGGCAGCUCUAGUGGUAACAAUUUUUAUUGGGCCUAAAGCGUCCGUAGCCGGUUUAAUAAGUCUCUGGUGAAAUCCUGUAGCUUAACUGUGGGAAUUGCUGGAGAUACUAUUAGACUUGAGACCGGGAGAGGUUAGAGGUACUCCCAGGGUAGAGGUGAAAUUCUGUAAUCCUGGGAGGACGGCCUGUUGCGAAGGCGGCUAACUGGAACGGUUCUGACGGUGAGGGACGAAAGUUAGGGGCGCGAACCGGAUUAGAUGCCCGGGUAGUACUAACUGUAAACGAUGCGGACUUGGUGUUGGGGUGGCUUUGAGCUGCUCCAGUGCCGAAGGGAAGCUGUUAAGUCCGCCGCCUGGGAAGUACGGUCGCAAGACUGAAACUUAAAGGAAUUGACGGGG
rnacentral:rRNA from 1 species